AGCGAACGUUUGCGGCGGGCUUAACACAUGCAAGUCGAACGGGCUGUUCCUUCGGGGGCAGUCAGUGGCGCACGGGUGCGUAACACGUAGGUAAUCAACCCUCUGGUUGGGGAUAACACUUCGAAAGGAGUGCUAAUACCCGGUAUGGCGCAGCGGUCUUCGGAUCGCGGCGAGAAAGACCCGCAAGGGUUGCCAGAGGACGAGCCUGCGGCCCAUCAGCUAGUUGGCGAGGUAACGGCUCACCAAGGCGACGAUCUGUAGCGGGUCUGAGAGGAUGAUCCGCCACACUGGAACUGAGACACGGUCCAGACUCCUACGGGAGGCAGCAGUGGGGAAUAUUGGACAAUGGGGGAAACCCUGAUCCAGCGACGCCGCGUGUGUGAAGAAGGCCUGCGGGUUGUAAAGCACUUUCGGUGGGAACGAAUAUGCCGGGCCGAAUACCCCGGUAGGCUGACGUUACCCAAUGAAGAAGCACCGGCUAACUCUGUGCCAGCAGCCGCGGU
rnacentral:rRNA from 1 species